rnacentral:rRNA from 1 species
GACAGAGGUCCCGAGCGUUAGGCGGAAUCACUGGGCUUAAAGCGUGUGUAGGCGGAUCGUUAAGUGCCUUGUGAAAUCCCAUGGCUUAACCAUGGAACUGCUUGGCAUACUGGCGGUCUUGAGCCACUUAGGGGUAACCGGAACAAAUGGUGGAGCGGUGAAAUGCGUAGAUAUCAUUUGGAACGCCAAUGGUGAAAACAGGUUGCUGGGAGUGUGCUGACGCUGAGACACGAAAGCCAGGGGAGCGAACGGG